AGCGGGAUGGGGCAGCCAGGAGUGCCCGCCGGGCUCAUAACCCGGAGGUCGGCGGUUCAAAUCCGCCUCCCGCUCCCA
rnacentral:tRNA from 2 species